rnacentral:rRNA from 1 species
GGGGAAUUUUGCACAAUGGGCGGAAGCCUGAUGCAGCGACGCCGCGUGGAGGAAGACGGCCUACGGGUUGUAAACCCCUUUUGCCAAGCCGUUCACAGCUUGGAGAAUAAGCCUCCACUAACUACGUGCCAGAAGUCUCGGUAAUACGUAGGAGGCAAGCAUUAUCCGGAUUUAUUGGGCGUAAAGUGUGCGUAGGUUUUCUUUCAAGUCUUUGUUGAAAGCUCAGGGCUCAACCCUGAAUUUGGCAGAGAUACUGGGAGAAUAGAGGAUUGGUAGGGAUGCUGGAACAGUAGGUGUAGCAGUGAAAUGCGUUGAUAUCUACUGGAACACCAAAGGCGAAGGCAGGCAUCUGGGCUCUUCCUGACACUGAGGCACGAAAGCCAGGGUAGCGAA